AAGGCGAGAUGUGGACAUUUCAUCAAUAAGUCUUUGUAUCUCUCCCAAGCUUUAUAGAAGGGUUCCGCAUCAUAUUGAGCAAACGACGUAAUUUCAUUUCGGAUAU